rnacentral:rRNA from 1 species
CCUACGGGAGGCAGCAGUGGGGAAUAUUGCACAAUGGGCGCAAGCCUGAUGCAGCCAUGCCGCGUGUAUGAAGAAGGCCUUCGGGUUGUAAAGUACUUUCAGCAGUGAGGAAGGUGGAUAUGUUAAUAGCAUAUUCAUUUGACGUUAGCUGCAGAAGAAGCACCGGCUAACUCCGUGCCAGCAGCCGCGGUAAUACGGAGGGUGCGAGCGUUAAUCGGAAUUACUGGGCGUAAAGCGCAUGCAGGUGGUUUGUUAAGUCAGAUGUGAAAGCCCGGGGCUCAACCUCGGAAUUGCAUUUGAAACUGGCAAACUAGAGUACUGUAGAGGGGGUAGAAUUUCAGGUGUAGCGGUGAAAUGCGUAGAGAUCUGAAGGAAUACCGGUGGCGAAGGCGGCCCCCUGGACAGAUACUGACACUCAGAUGCGAAAGCGUGGGGAGCAAACAGGAUUAGAUACCCUGGUAG